rnacentral:misc_RNA from 1 species
GAUGAAGAACGUAGCGAAAUGCGAUAAGUAGUGUGAAUUGCAGACUUUAGUGAAUCAUCGAGUCUUUGAACGCACAUUGCGCCCCCUGGUAUUCCGGGGGGCAUGCCUGUCCGAGCGUCAUUGCUGCCCUCAAGCACGGCUUGUGUGUUGGGCCCCGUCCUCCGAUCCCGGGGGACGGGCCCGAAAGGCAGCGGCGGCACCGCGUCCGGUCCUCGAGCGUAUGGGGCUUUGUCACCCGCUCUGUAGGCCCGGCCGGCGCUUGCCGAUCAACCCAAAUUUUUAUCCAGGUUGACCUCGGAUCAGGUAGGGAUACCCGCUGAACUUAAGCAUAUCAAUAAGCGGAGGA